AGCACAGCACACUGCAGCCUCCCUCUUCUUGGCCACAACAUUCUCUCAGUCUCACUUCUCCACCAGCCCAACUCCUAUUCUUUCUUCAAAAGUCAGAGCACUGUAGCCCCCUCAUCCGCGGGGGGAUACAUUCCAGGACUUCCGAUGGAUGCCUGAAACCACGGUACCAAACCCUGAAUAUACCAUGGUUCCCCCCCCCCCCAUACAUACAUACCUACGGUGAAGUUUCAUUUAUAAAUUUGGCACGAGUAUCCUACUCUACUCACUCUUCUUGUGAUGACGUGAGCUAGUUAAAUGCCCGCCUGAUGAGAUGAAGCGAGGUGACGGACGUGGGCUUUGGGAUGCAGGGCUUGAGCUGCCUCCAUGAGCCUCCAGAUCUACAGAGAGCUCCUGACCUAUGAAACCAUGAUCCUGAAGGCUGGCCUCAGACGUGGCACUUAGGGAAAGUUUGGUUCUAUUUACAAGGUGAGAGAGUGAAGGCAGACUGAGAAACAACGUGUGGACCCACCGAAGAGAGCAGGAGGCAUGGAUGGCAAAGCCCAGAGGAGGUAUGAUGGGAUCAACAAAUCAGGAGAUGGCCAGAUGCAAGGAACUUUGCCUCUCUUGCUCCCAGUCCCCAAAUAGCCAGAGAUUCCAGGUUCCAGAAGUUCUGCAGCAUCAUAUCCUUGUUCCGGCCCCUCAGAGCUGGGUCCAGCUGCUGCCCCUCUUCCUGGGUGAAGUCCACAGCCACAUCUGUGAGUGUCACCAAUUCCGGGGCCUCAUCAUCCAAUGGCUGGGCAGCCCAUGGUGGCUAGGGACAGGUAGCCAAGUGUACCAAAUGUCUCCAUUAUUACUCCAUUGAAUGGUAAGUUAUGUAGUCAUCUUAUCCAUGAGCGAAAUAUACACUGAAGCCAUGUUUCUCAAACUAGAACCCAGGCACCAGCAUGAAGACAAUCCUCCCCAGACUGGUCUGGCUGUGCAAAUCACCAUCUGUGCAGAGGGUGUCUGAUGUCAUUUGGGCAACACAAGACAUGGAUGCCAUGAUUAAAAACACAAAUGCAAAUGGAGGUUCUGAUCCUGCUUGCCAAACUAGAUAUUCCAGAAUCGACAACUGAUAUUUUAAAAGAUUAUCGUUAAAAUGAAAACCAAAUUUGAA